rnacentral:rRNA from 1 species
UACGUAGGUGGCAAGCGUUGUUCGGAAUUAUUGGGCGUAAAGGGCGCGUAGGCGGUCUUGUAAGUCAGCUGUGAAAGCCCGGAGCUCAACCCCGGAGGGUCGGCUGAUACUGCAGGACUGGAGUACGGAAGAGGUAGCUGGAAUUCCUGGUGUAGCGGUGAAAUGCGCAGAUAUCAGGAGGAACACCGAUUGCGAAGGCAGCUCGCUGGGACGUACUGACGCUGAGACGCGAAAGCGUGGGGAGCAAACAGGAU